GCAAAGUUCCAGUGUGAAGUUUAAUAAAAAAUAAAUAAAAGAAUUGAGUUGGGUGAACACCUGCUAAGUAUUGCAUCGAUAUCAAGGGGACAUUACAUAUCAGUUCCUAUACCAUGCUGAAUUAUGACAAACCAGGGGCUUAUAGAGGAAAGCACAUUUAGAUAGAAAGGGUAUGGUGCAGAACUAACAUGCUUCUCUUGUUAGUCAACUAAAGCAUCAUGUGAGCUCUAUACGUUUACAUUUCUACGUACUGAAUAAGCCCCGGACUCACAGUAAAAUCUACUUCCAGGUCAAGGGUGGGUAACUUCCUCUUCCGUGAACAGACAACUCAGAAUCUCUUGGCUUUCAAGCAGAUGGCUGUACACAAACCAGAGGAUCAAUGUGGCGGUGGAGCCUUCAAAAAAGUUGCUGCUGUCCAGUCCAGGGCCAGAGUUACAGCAUUAAAGUCUUCGCAGUGGACUGUACUUCUCCUGUACCAGGUCAUCACGGCCCAAGUGAGGCCUCCAGUGACGGUGUGAAUAAACAAAUCACACGAGGGAGGUGGUGUGAAGGCAGUAUUGGCCACCAGCCUGGACACUGCAGAAAAUGCCAUUUCCGGAGAUGAGAGAAGGGUAGAAGAGAACGUUCUCUGAGAGAAUGCACGGUUGGGAUUCAAGAAAUCAAUGCGACACCUGUUUAGGGUGUGAAAUAAGAAGAAUAUCGUCGGCAUGAAUAUUCAAAACAUGCUCUCGUUCAGUGAAAGAACCACGGCAUUGUUGUUUUUGUCCAACUCUGGAGACUGUGAGCGCUGUUGAUGGAAUAGGACCCAUGGACCUCAUCACUGAUAAGACUUGUUGUAAGUGAACCUGCCAGAACAGGAUGUACAGGGCUAUGUGAAUGAAAGCUCGCGGUACAGUUUAUAAGUUCAUCCGAUGUACUACAGGUAGCGGCACAAAACCGUUCCGUACACGUGCCAUCUAUCAGCAUAAAACCCCUUUCACACAUCAUCAACAAUGCCAUGGUAGGUUCAUGGAAGGAAAUGAAAAGGCUAUGACGUUCGUCAUUCAAAAAGGGCAUACGAGGCCUGUCCCUUGUCUUACCAGUUGAAGCCUGGCACGUCAGUUAUUUUGGAGGGGCCCUCUUUUGAAUUCAACAACUAAGACUUUAGCCCUUCUAAUGAUAAGCCAAACAUAUUUUUUUCCCUCUAUCACACCUCCAUUGAUAUUUCAACAAUAACUACUAUGAGGUGAAUAUUUUAAAGAGAGCAACUCUCGUAAAAGCUCUCCAAAAAUGUCUGUCGAUUUGAAUCGCAUGAUAACUACUUUAUUGAACAAGAAUGCACACUAGACUCUUAACAGACUUCUCAACAAAAAACAUUCAAUUAAAAAAUGAUUUGCAUCAUGAAUACUUUAAUAUGUAUUUUGACAUUCAAUUCAUAUUAGUUUCCUCAUUUUGGAUCCAAAGGGGACUAAGUGGUGACAUUAAGCUUUGGUGGUGUAGGCAUUGGGACUGACAGGCAAAUGUAAAAGCCAAAAGGCAAUAGUACCACCUCAAUAAUCUCAUCAUACUGACGAGCCGCAGUACAUGCAGUAUCACGUGUUAGAUAUAGUUAUCAUGAAUAAUGUGCUUUAUAUAUAAAACGUAUGAGCACAGGCAGUGAUCAUGUGCGUCAUAUUGAGGGAAUGGUUAAGUACGGUCAUUUAUUAUAAUUGUUUGUUCUUUUAGAAAAAUAUCAAUUUUAAAACCAGCCUCAACAACCACCUCUGUUUCUUCAUUGACAAAAAUAUCCCAUUUUUAUAUUUUCAAACAUUCAUACUUUACAAUCAUUGUACAUACACUUCAAUAUACAUAUCUUCUGUAUGUAUAUGCGUAUGCUUUUAAGUAUACUUUUGACACAUAUAACAUUUUAUGAUAGUGCACAUGCCUCUGAAGUUGCCAAACAUAAUAUUGAAAAAAUCUAAUAACAACACAAUGCAAUAAUAAUAGUAACAUUAAGGGGGAAACCACCCCUGAAAGAACAAAAACAUCCGGCAUCGGCAACACAGGUAAGAGCGGAGGACAAAACCAAACUUUUUUUUUUAUACAUAAAACAUAACAAAUGUCACUUGAAAAUGAAAAAGAACAAAUUCACAGGCGAAUGAAGAACACAUACUCACAAACACCCCCUCCUCUCGUCUCCUCUGUGUGUCCGGCCUCUGUAUUGUGCUCUAACAUCGUGUCAACCUCAAUCAAAAGAAAGAUAGAAGCGGGCCAAGUGGCUCAGAGUGGGAUACACUCACAAUAAAUGCACCUCCCACUAGGAGAGGAAGCGAGGCCGCUCAUCCCAAUGUUCAGAGGUUGGUUGAAUAUUCCUUUUAAAAGUAUCUUUAAAAAUAAAAUAAAAA